UUAUUAUUGGUGUAUUGAUGCACGAAAAGUUUUGAAUUUUUAAGAGAUAAUUUAAUUUUAUUAUAAUAAA
rnacentral:tRNA from 1 species